GGCAAGGUGGCUUAAAUGGUAAAGCAUUUGCCUGCAAUUCAAGAGACCCAGCUUCAAUACCUGGGCUGGGUCA
rnacentral:tRNA from 1 species